rnacentral:rRNA from 1 species
UGGGGAAUAUUGGUCAAUGGGCGAGAGCCUGAACCAGCCAAGUAGCGUGCAGGAUGACGGCCCUAUGGGUUGUAAACUGCUUUUAUAAGGGAAUAAAGUGAGUCUCGUGAGACUUUUUGCAUGUACCUUAUGAAUAAGGACCGGCUAAUUCCGUGCCAGCAGCCGCGGUAAUACGGAAGGUCCGGGCGUUAUCCGGAUUUAUUGGGUUUAAAGGGAGCGUAGGCCGGAGAUUAAGCGUGUUGUGAAAUGUAGACGCUCAACGUCUGCACUGCAGCGCGAACUGGUUUCCUUGAGUACGCACAAAGUGGGCGGAAUUCGUGGUGUAGCGGUGAAAUGCUUAGAUAUCACGAAGAACUCCGAUUGCGAAGGCAGCUCACUGGAGCGCAACUGACGCUGAAGCUCGAAAGUGCGGGUAUCGAACAGGAUUAGAUACCCUGGUAGUCCGCACGGUAAACGAUGGAUGCCCGCUGUUGGCCUGAAUAGGUCAGCGGCCAAGCGAAAGCAUUAAGCAUCCCACCUGGGGAGUACGCCGGCAACGGUGAAACUCAAAGGAAUUGACGGGGGCCCGCACAAGCGGAGGAACAUGUGGUUUAAUUCGAUGAUACGCGAGGAACCUUACCCGGGCUUGAAUUGCAGAGGAAGGAUUUGGAGACAAUGACGCCCUUCGGGGCCUCUGUGAAGGUGCUGCAUGGUUGUCGUCAGCUCGUGCCGUGAGGUGUCGGCUUAAGUGCCAUAACGAGCGCAACCCCUCUCCUUAGUUGCCAUCAGGUCAUGCUGGGCACUCUGGGGACACUGCCACCGUAAGGUGUGAGGAAGGUGGGGAUGACGUCAAAUCAGCACGGCCCUUACGUCCGGGGCUACACACGUGUUACAAUGGCAGGUACAGAGAGACGGUCCCUUGCAAAAGGGAUCAAAUCCUCAAAGCCUGUCUCAGUUCGGACUGGGGUCUGCAACCCGACCCCACGAAGCUGGAUUCGCUAGUAAUCGCGCAUCAGCCAUGGCGCGGUGAAUACGUUCCC